CCGGCGAGUUGUCCGGGAAUUGGUGUAGGGCGAAAAUAAUGGUGGUUCUGGAAUGGAAACCUUUUGGAUCCACCCAAAGUGAGGUCGACAGGAGAGGAGUUAAUCACCGUCAGCGAGUUAUCAUUGCCGGCUGAUUCGACGGUGCUGCUCUGGCUAGGACUCCGGCUCUGGAUAUUUUUCUUGCUAACAAAAAGAUCGUUGCUUUUCUUGAGAUUCUCAGCAUUCGUGUUCAGAUCCAGAGAGGGAAAAUUGGUCUUUGCCUUGGCGCCACGGAAUCGCCUAGCGGCGGUGUCGUAGGCUCUGGCAGCCUCCUCCGCCGUGUCAAAGGUACCCAGCCACACGCGACUCUUUUUCCCAGGAUCCCUUAUCUCCGCCGCAUAUCUUCCCCACGGUCUUUUCCUCAC
rnacentral:lncRNA from 1 species